UAGAGUUUGAUCCUGGCUCAGGACGAACGCUGGCGGCGUGCCUAAUACAUGCAAGUCGAGCGGACAGAAGGGAGCUUGCUCCCGGAUGUUAGCGGCGGACGGGUGAGUAACACGUGGGUAACCUGCCUGUAAGACUGGGAUAACUCCGGGAAACCGGAGCUAAUACCGGAUAGUUCCUUGAACCGCAUGGUUCAAGGAUGAAAGACGGUUUCGGCUGUCACUUACAGAUGGACCCGCGGCGCAUUAGCUAGUUGGUGAGGUAACGGCUCACCAAGGCGACGAUGCGUAGCCGACCUGAGAGGGUGAUCGGCCACACUGGGACUGAGACACGGCCCAGACUCCUACGGGAGGCAGCAGUAGGGAAUCUUCCGCAAUGGACGAAAGUCUGACGGAGCAACGCCGCGUGAGUGAUGAAGGUUUUCGGAUCGUAAAGCUCUGUUGUUAGGGAAGAACAAGUGCAAGAGUAACUGCUUGCACCUUGACGGUACCUAACCAGAAAGCCACGGCUAACUACGUGCCAGCAGCCGCGGUAAUACGUAGGUGGCAAGCGUUGUCCGGAAUUAUUGGGCGUAAAGGGCUCGCAGGCGGUUUCUUAAGUCUGAUGUGAAAGCCCCCGGCUCAACCGGGGAGGGUCAUUGGAAACUGGGAAACUUGAGUGCAGAAGAGGAGAGUGGAAUUCCACGUGUAGCGGUGAAAUGCGUAGAGAUGUGGAGGAACACCAGUGGCGAAGGCGACUCUCUGGUCUGUAACUGACGCUGAGGAGCGAAAGCGUGGGGAGCGAACAGGAUUAGAUACCCUGGUAGUCCACGCCGUAAACGAUGAGUGCUAAGUGUUAGGGGGUUUCCGCCCCUUAGUGCUGCAGCUAACGCAUUAAGCACUCCGCCUGGGGAGUACGGUCGCAAGACUGAAACUCAAAGGAAUUGACGGGGGCCCGCACAAGCGGUGGAGCAUGUGGUUUAAUUCGAAGCAACGCGAAGAACCUUACCAGGUCUUGACAUCCUCUGACAACCCUAGAGAUAGGGCUUUCCCUUCGGGGACAGAGUGACAGGUGGUGCAUGGUUGUCGUCAGCUCGUGUCGUGAGAUGUUGGGUUAAGUCCCGCAACGAGCGCAACCCUUGAUCUUAGUUGCCAGCAUUCAGUUGGGCACUCUAAGGUGACUGCCGGUGACAAACCGGAGGAAGGUGGGGAUGACGUCAAAUCAUCAUGCCCCUUAUGACCUGGGCUACACACGUGCUACAAUGGACAGAACAAAGGGCUGCGAGACCGCAAGGUUUAGCCAAUCCCACAAAUCUGUUCUCAGUUCGGAUCGCAGUCUGCAACUCGACUGCGUGAAGCUGGAAUCGCUAGUAAUCGCGGAUCAGCAUG
rnacentral:rRNA from 1 species